CUACGUGCCAGCAGCCGCGGUAAUACGUAGGGGGCAAGCGUUAUCCGGAAUUAUUGGGCGUAAAGAGUGCGUAGGUGGUUACCUAAGCGCAAGGUUUAAUUUAGAGGCUCAACCUCUACUUGCCUUGCGAACUGGGCUACUUGAGUGCAGGAGGGGAAAGCGGAAUUCCUAGUGUAGCGGUGAAAUGCGUAGAUAUUAGGAGGAACACCAGCGGCGAAGGCGGCUUUCUGGACUGUAACUGACACUGAGGCACGAAAGCGUGGGUAGCAAACAGGAUUAGAUACCCUGGUAGUCCACGCCGUAAACGAUGAGCACUAGGUGUUGGGCCCGUUAGGGCUCAGUGCCGCAGUUAACGCAAUAAGUGCUCCGCCUGGGGAGUACGCUCGCAAGAGUAAAACUCAAAGGAAUUGACGGGGACCCGCACAAGCAGCGGAGCAUGUGGUUUAAUUCGAAGCAACGCGAAGAACCUUACCAGGGCUUGACAUCCUGCUGAC
rnacentral:rRNA from 1 species